UGGAUUUUAAGAAUUGCCAUUAGUCCCUACAAAACGAUAUAAAAUGUCACUAAUAGAGAGAAAAAAAUCAGGUGCAACGAUAUGAACUCAAAACAAUUACUGAAAGAAGAAAAUAUACCAUAAGAUUCAGGACAAUCAUGGUCAGCACAAGUAAGAUAAUUGCUGAAGUCCAAAAACUAGAUGAAGCAAAACGUCAAAAGAAUCAGAGUUAAUAUUACAGCUACAAAAAAUAAAGGUGUUUUAUUCCAGAAAGCAAGAAAGGAUAGGAAUGAAAUGGCAUUCCAAUAUAUAAUCUACUAACCUACAUGUGAUAACUAAGCAUACAAU
rnacentral:lncRNA from 1 species